CGCCAAUAUUAAAAGUAGGAUUGAUGAUGAGGAACUGAUGCAGGGCAGGUGAGCUCCAAUGCAGAGCUUAGCCAGUGAAGAUUCUUGGCUUUUCCCAGUAAAGAAUUCAAGGGCAAGCAGGAGAUAGAAGAAAACAGCUUUAUUGAAGACACGGUGUUACAGCUCCAGAGCUAGUCCUCAAUCUGGUCCGGUGUCCAAGCCCCGCCUCUGGAGUAGAGUCCUGUCUCCUACUUCAGAACCAGCAAUGGAGAGUGGAGAGCAGCAGCCACUAACGGAAGAGGGAAACCAAGAGACUAUGGCAUGGCAUCCUAGAAACCACGGGAAGAAAGGACAACAAGGAGAAGGGAGUGACUGUGUCAAAUGCUGCUGAUAGGUCCAGAAAGAUGAGGACAGAACAUACUGCCUAUUAGGUUUUGCAACAUUAAAUGACUGUUUUGCAUCUGACGGC
rnacentral:lncRNA from 1 species